GCCGCGUGGGUGAAGAAGGCCUGCGGGUUGUAAAGCCGUUCGGGGGGAGGAAAAGCGCGGUGCGAAUACUACCGUGACUUGACGUUACCCCAGAAGAAGCACCGGCUAACUCCGUGCCAGCAGCCGCGGUAAUACGGAGGGUGCGAGCGUUAAUCGGAAUUACUGGGCGUAAAGCGCGCGUAGGCGGUGCGGUCAGUCAGAUGUGAAAGCCCUGGGCUCAACCUGGGAAUGGCAUUUGAUACUGCCGUGCUAGAGUGUGACAGAGGAAGGCGGAAUUCCCGGUGUAGCGGUGAAAUGCGUUGAGAUCGGGAGGAAUACCAAUGGCGAAGGCAGCUUUCUGGGUUGACACUGACGCUGAGGCGCGAAAGCGUGGGGAGCAAACAGGAUUAGAUACCCUGGUAGUCCACGCUGUAAACGAUGAGAACUAGACGUCGGGAGGGUAUAGCCUUUCGGUGUCGCAGCUAACGCACUAAGUUCUCCGCCUGGGGAGUACGGCCGCAAGGUUG
rnacentral:rRNA from 1 species